UCCAGGCCGGCCUGCGCUCCUGCCUCGGGACGGCCGCCCGCCGGCGGGGAGAGAUGCCCGAGCCGGGAAGGGAGGGAGGGAGGGAGGAGAGAGAGAGG
rnacentral:miRNA from 1 species